rnacentral:tRNA from 1 species
GGCUAAUGAACUUGAAUAAGUAUAUAUUUUGAAAAUAUAAAAUAGAAGUUUACCCCUCUAUUAGCCU